rnacentral:misc_RNA from 1 species
GAUGAAGAACGCAGCGAAAUGCGAUACGUAGUGUGAAUUGCAGAAUUCAGUGAAUCAUCGAAUCUUUGAACGCACAUUGCACCUCUCGGUAUUCCGGGAGGUAUGCCUGUUCGAGCGUCAUUUGUACCCUCAAGCUCUGCUUGGUGUUGGGUGUUUGUUCCGCCUCUGUGUGUGAACUCGCCUCAAAACUAUUGGCAGCCGGCGUACUUGUUUCGGAGCGCAGCACAUUUUGCGAUCCAGAUCAACGUACAGCGGCAUCCAAGAAGCCUUAUUUAACGCUCUUGACCUCGGAUCAGGUAGGGAUACCCGCUGAACUUAAGCAUAUCAAUAAGCGGAGGA